rnacentral:lncRNA from 1 species
AGAAAAAGAAAAAAAAGAAGACGGGGAAGAAGAAGAAGAAUGCAAACAAUUACAAUAGGUACUUUCACACCUUCGGUGAGAGAAAAAGUACAACUGCUCCUUCCUGUAAAGGAGGCGGGAACAUUUAAAGAAAGAGCAGUGCUGUGAUUGGCUCCUGUUCGGGCUACUUCCUGAAUAAACAAAAACAGAGCAGAACAGUUGGGCAGGUUUUGGCCCAGAGCUGAACUGCAGAAGAAGCUGAUAAACGAUACCUCAGUGGGUUCACCUUCCUGCACUGUCUCUGUGUGUCCAGGACAGAACGUCUGGAUGUAAUCUGCCGUGUAAGUGAGGACGGGGUGUUUCAGAAAGGAAGAGAGAAAGUGAAACUGCUAGGAGAUUUAAAAGUUUUUGGGAGGAGUCACAGCAACAUCUUCACUGAGAAGAAUAAUGGAAAAAGGAUAUGAAAUUCUCUCAAAUAACACAUAUACAAAUGAUGUCAGUGUUAAUAUCACAGAGGAGUCUGAGUGCUUCAUUUGCAGAGAUGUGGGCCUGAUGGGUGAAGAUCCGCUGAGGACCUUCUGUGACUGUAAGAACCUUGUGGCUCACCACAGCUGUCUGCUAACCUGGAUCAAAACGGGUCUUGGACGAGUGGAGAGACUCAAGUGUAGCGUCUGCAAUGCUGAGCUCAUCAGAGUGAGGGACGAGAGCACUGAGGCCGGGUGGCUGCAGAAUCACUUCACUCCUGAUUGCCUUGUCAGGGCACCUUAUACUCCUGAGAAUGACAUAACCGCCCCUAUCGAACACAGACACACCAAGGUGCCUCCAUCUCCAUCUUGGACUGCUGUUUCCAGAAGUCCUCUGUCUUGUGGACUCUUUGAGCACCUUAUGAGAUCUAAAAGUCAAGUCUUGUGGUCCAGGAACUCUGUCUACUCUGGCCCUGUUCAUGAGAGUACCUGCACAAAGAGGAUGAUGACAUGUAGGUGGAGUUCUUUCAUGUCUGAAUAGAUCACUUCAGGUGGCAGAAUGACCCUUCGGUGCAUGGAACCCUAAUAGUGCUCAUGCUAAAGUGCUGCCACUUAUCUCCUCCAGACCCUCUCCAUCUGUUUACUUCCCUCUUCCCCCACUGUGAUGGACGGAGGUAUAGCGAAGCGGAUGGAGCGAUGGAAAAAAGGAAGGAGGGAAGGAAACUUAAUGAAAGCGGAGAUUCCAGGCAGCCUGCUGGUUCUCAUCAAUCAGCCGUGUGCUUUGGAAGUGUAAUCCAAGGGAGGGGGAGAGGCAUCAGGCUUUUAAUCUCUAUUAGUUAAUGGACUCUACUCUCAUGCUUCAGGAACGUUAGACUGUUGGUCUGCAAACAACACAUAAGCUAGUUUCAGAAAAUUUGCAAUCUAAAAUUAGUGAUGUGUACAUAAAGCUUCCUUUGUACGCAAGCGCUACAUUUUUGGGGGAUAUUUUUGUACUAAUGAGCUUUUAUGGGUAAUUUGUGGUAGGUUUUCGCCAAAGGGAGGAGCUUUCGGGUGCUUUUGGGUGGCUAAGCAAGGCGUUGGCAGUCGUUGAAUUAAUUUGACUAAAGGUUUAUUUUUAUUUUUUAUGACAGACUGCUUGUGAGUGAGCCAAAGAGGCAAAGCUGUCACGAAACUUGUCAUUUCUGGUUCCCAGUAGUAUUUUACAGCGCUCGGAUAUGUUCCAUUAGUGCUGUAUGUUUUGCAGAACAACUCUCAGAAAAGCACAGUGCGCUCUGGGGUCGCUUUUCUAUAGGCCCCUGGUGUUAAUGAAACAGUUUGAACGUGCGCUCAGCCUUGGGAGACAGGGAGUAAAACAGAGCCACACCAUCUGAUUCAAUUAUAAAUUAAACUGACUAACAAACCGUUAAUCAGUAUGGAAAGCAUUUUAAUUUUUUGAAGUGGAAAAUAAAAACAAAAUUGACCCUUCGGUGCUUAAAUGGACUCACUAAAUGGACUUCCACUCAUUGAUCUCUAUCUACAUUUUCUACCUUAUUGUUGUGGCAUCAUUUUUAUUAAAUCUGUUAUUUGACAUUGUUUUUAUUUUUAUUACUGUGCUGCUGAAUCAGAUGUCAAAUGUAUAUUUGUGAAACUACUUUCAUAAAACGUUUUUAAAAGAAAAGUUGACCAAAAACUGAAAAUUAUUAUUUAGUCAUUAUUUACUUUUUUUUUUUUUUUUUUUUUUUUUUAUGUCAUCCGUGAAUGAGAAUGAUAGUAAUUUUCAGGUGCUUUCUGUCCACCAGCAACUAGUGGAACUUCUCAGGAAGCCGUCAGUAUUCACUUAACUACAGGAAAUGAGCGUGAAUCUUUGAUUGCUGUAAUAAAGUUGUCUCUCAGUAUCUCAUAGUGGUCACAAAGUGUCCACUUCAGCGUCCAUCCUCUUUCCUGUCAGAUUCAGACAGGCCCUCUGAUCAACUUAUGUUAAUGCUGGUCUAAUAGAGCCUUCCACUCCCACGCCAGCACAGCAAUGUCUAUGCAAAGCAGCAGCCAGAGGGAGAGGACAAAAUAUAUUCAUGCCUUUUUUUCCUCCACUAACCCCCCAACACACACACACACACACACACUGUCCUUCCUCUCCAGGGUGUUUUUUUUUAUUUUUAUCUUUCCUUUACUUUUUGUUUCCUUUGUUUAGCCAAAGCCAUUUACAGCAUGUUAAAGAUGAACUGUGCCCCUCUUGUAGAUGUGACAAGUCGUUAUUGCCUCCCUUGAGAGAAAUGUUAUUGUCAUUGUGUCCACAGACUCCGUAUCCCGAUUGCCAAUGGAUCCAUGCUGUUUGUACCACAUCAGUGGAAAAAGCUUCAGCACAGUUUAAACUUGUUUUUCAUUUGUGUGCUUGAUUUUGUACAUACUACAAAGAAGACGUCUUAUAAAUAUGGAAACAAAUUUAUAAUAGAUGUGUAGUUAGGCCCUCAGGUGAAAUGCAUUUCCAGAAAUGAUGUCAUCUAUACGUAAUGCACAAAUGUAGAAAAUUUAUUUGGGUUGCCUUAUUAAUAUGAAUCGUAGAAUAAUACGUAGUGUCCUACUUCCGAGAUGUUGGCUUUUAAAUAAUCCCAAUAGGCCUUGUGUCGUCUAAAUGAUUGAUUGGAAUGGCUCCUAAAGGUCAUUUUCAUAAAACAUUAGGAGGUGAUGAACACCACGCUGUCUGUGAUUGUUAACCAAACGUUAAUUUAUUACAACAAGCAUACUAACUAAUGUAAGUGUGCUGGAUUACCUACUAAAGAUGUUACAAAUUCGUACCAUUUGGGAUAAUAUGAUGUUUAAUUAUCCACCACUGAUUUGAAUGCCUAAUUAUAUAUAAAGCAUCUCUUUUAUCAAAACAGAUGCCUGACCCAGUUCAUCUUUCCUUUACAUCCACUUUAUUGCACAUAUGCAUUCAAAACAUGUAAAGAGGUCAUGUAUCAAAAGCUGGGAGAACAAUUUUCAUAUUCAUUACCCAUUAAAGAGCUAAUCUAUAUCCACUUUAUAGAUGGUUUGAAUGUAUCCCAUUUGAAUAUGAAACACACUAAUUGCUUUAUUAAGGUUAAACAUGUAUGAGGCUGCAGCUGUUGUAACAACAGAAGGGGUAUUUUAUUGUUGUGGUGGCUGUACAUAUGAGCAUGUCUCUCUCACAGUCGGGUCUUUUCAUUUAUUGGACUCUAAUUUAUUUAUUUUUUUCAGCACAUAAAGAUAUUUUCCAAAAGCCUUUGUAAAUUAGAUGUCAUUAUUAUUAUUUUUUUAGAUUUGUAAAUAAUCAAUAUGAGUAAAUAAUAGUCAUUUACUGUAUAUUCAUUCAUUUAUACGUUCAUUCAUUUAUAAUUAUUAUUAUUUUU